UUGAACGCUGGCGGCAGGCCUAACACAUGCAAGUCGAGCGGAUGAAGGGAGCUUGCUCCUGGAUUCAGCGGCGGACGGGUGAGUAAUGCCUAGGAAUCUGCCUGGUAGUGGGGGAUAACGUCCGGAAACGGGCGCUAAUACCGCAUACGUCCUGAGGGAGAAAGUGGGGGAUCUUCGGACCUCACGCUAUCAGAUGAGCCUAGGUCGGAUUAGCUAGUUGGUGGGGUAAAGGCCUACCAAGGCGACGAUCCGUAACUGGUCUGAGAGGAUGAUCAGUCACACUGGAACUGAGACACGGUCCAGACUCCUACGGGAGGCAGCAGUGGGGAAUAUUGGACAAUGGGCGAAAGCCUGAUCCAGCCAUGCCGCGUGUGUGAAGAAGGUCUUCGGAUUGUAAAGCACUUUAAGUUGGGAGGAAGGGCAGUAAGUUAGUACCUUGCUGUUUUGACGUUACCAACAGAAUAAGCACCGGCUAACUUCGUA
rnacentral:rRNA from 1 species